GGCCAUAGCUAACUGGGUUGAGCAUCUGCCUUGCAAGCAGAAGGCCCUGGGUUCAAUUCCUGCCGACAUCACCA